GGACGGCCAGGGGGCUGGUGCCGCUCAAAUAGACGGUGGAGUGGCGCGUUUGAGACGUCAGACAAAUGCGACGGGCCUGGGCGGGGGCGGGGCACGGGCGGGUGGCUGCAGAGGGCUCGAGUCGCGGGAGCUGGUGUCCUCCGGUUGCAGCGCCUUUUUGUCGUGUCCUGCCAUCUGCCCAGCUUUAAAUGGCCAUUUUGCAUAAAAGACAUAGACACCUUGAGGCUGCAAGCCUUUGCAGACCAGGCUUACCCCACAGCCACCGCCUGGGCUGCUUUCGCGUGAGACUCCAACUGGAACUGAGAGAAGAACAUGUCUCCAGAGGGAACAGUUUCUUCUAGGAAGAGCACCCUAUCCAACUGGGGGUGAAAAUUAAAAUGAAACAAACAACACCAUUCAAGAUGAGGCGAAGUAUUGACUCCUUCAUAUGCCGUUCCAGAAAUCCUACUUGACAAAACCAGGGGAGUCAUGCAGGAGCUUUGGGGAACGAGUGUGCUCUGUACUGCCACCGCUUCCUGGGUGGCAAUGUCGCUGAGAAUCCACUGAGAAGCCUCGGAUAGACUACUGCAAGGCCAUGAAUUUGCAUUUUACUAAACAACAAAAGUGUUGACACUAAGGCUAAAGAUGGAAUGUUUAUUAAAGAAAUUAUUAAAUAAAAAGUUUAGACCCCUCCAACUCAGUGUUGACAUUGAAUUUGCCAUUGUAACAGUACUAAAAGGUGGGACCUUUCAAGAGGUGGUCAGGCCACAGGGGCUCUGCUCUCAAGAAUGGAUUAAGGCCAUCAUUGUAGGAGUGGAUUGGUUGUGACUAGAGCCAUAGAGGUUUUGUUUUCAAACUGUUUCUCUUAUGAUUUCUCCAUGUGAUGUUUUCUUCCAUGUUACGAUGUAGCCAGAAGGUCCCUCACCAAAUACAACCCCUCAGACUUGGACUUCCUAGCUUCUAGAACUAUGAGUCAAAUGAACAUGUUGCUUCUAAUCUACCCAGUCUGUGGUAUUUUGUUAUACCUUCAGAAAACAUGCCAAGACAACCAAUCACAAGAAAUAAUAGUGGAUGACCAACUUGAUAACACAGCAAAACCCCAUUAAAAAAGGGAGAAAAUGAAAGGAAGAAAGAAUGUCUGCUGAGAUAAUCCCAGAAACAUGAAAAGCUGGUGUCCAUGACAACAAGAGCUGCCAAGCCAGGAGGGAGAGGGAGUGGACUGAUUCAAAGCUGAAUGGGAAGAAGGAAGAUGUAUUGGCUCCUUGUCUGGUUGCUGUGACAGGCUACUUGACAACCCACUUCAAAAACAAGGCUUUAUUCUAGCUCACAGCUGGAGGGUACAGUCCAUCAUGGUGGGGCAGUCACGGGGGCAGAAGCUUGAGGCAGCUGCUCACAUUGCAUCAGGAUUCAGGAAGCAGGGUGGUGAACCCCUGGGAUCAGCUCCUUCUCUCCUUUUUCUCACCCCAGCACCCCACUCAUAGAGUCAUGCCACCAACUGGGUGGGCCUUUCCACUUCAAUGAACCUAAUCCAGAUAAUCUCACAGGCACACACAGAGGCCUGUCUCUUAUGUGAGCCUAAAUCCCACCAGGCUGACAAGGUUAACCACCACACAGAGCUAUAAAAAAGACCCUGAAGCCAGGAGCUGGAGAGAUGGCUCAGUGUUCCGAGCACUGGUUGCUCUUGCAGAGGACCUGGGUUCAAUUCCCGGCACCCACACGGCAGCUCACACCUGUCUGUAACUCUGUGAGGCACCGCACACAAACGGUGCACAGACAGACACACAUGCAGGCCAACACCCACACACAGAGACUUUUCAAAAUGAUAAAGACCCCGAAAUCAGGCAACAGUUGGACUUACUGUAGGUAGUUCACAAGAAGAGGAGGACGUUCUGGGUUUUCUUUUUCACUGUUAGUGCCUCAUGGGAGAAUAGCACAUCAAAGUUAACCGAGUACUUAGGACUAGUUCCUCACUCACUCUUCACGAGUUGUACUUGAGGCAAGUGCACCUGUACUAGCGAGAAACAGUAGCUCAGAAAUGAUACCCCCCAAACUGUGCCAAGACCGCUCGCUACCUUUGCCCCUCUCUGUCAAUGCUGCUGGUUAAGUUUGGUUUCUGUAGUGGAGGUUUUAGGCUGACGUGAUAUUACAAUUAUAUCCUUUUGAAAAAUAUUUAUUGAGUAUAAAUAAAUGUCCUAUACAUUAAAUAUCAAGAAAUAUCCAUUAUUCAUUACAAGUCAGGCUAUAAUACUGAGGGAACCAUGGGAUCAAAACAGCAACUCAUGAUACAGUAGUGACAGUUCAUUCCAACAUUGGACAGCAAUGACUUGUUCACAUGACACAGCAAAACCGAUCAAAAAAAGCCGUCAUUAAACCCACCAUAACACCACAAGAGACAACGCUUUGGAAGCAUCCUAUCAACAGUCUCAAUCUCUAAUAAUCUCUAUCUUACCAGUGUAUCAAGUCACACCGAGACUGUACUUAUACUGCUGUAGAAUGUACAGUCUCAUCUCCUUGGUUUUAUUUUGAAUUAUUGUUAAUGAAUGAAAACAAGUCAUACAAAGUCAAAGGGACUUUUCAGUUAGUCUUUCCUAAGAGAAAAAAAGAGAAUCAAAUUUUAGUAAAAGACAGCUUCCCCCAAGCAAUGAAUUUAACGGAAAAAAA